rnacentral:rRNA from 1 species
UACGUAGGGGGCAAGCGUUGUCCGGAUUUAUUGGGCGUAAGGAGCGUGUAGGCGGCCAUGCAGGUCAGCUGUGAAAACUCGAGGCUCAACCUCGAGACGUCGGUUGAAACCGUAUGGCUAGAGUCCGGAAGAGGAGAGUGGAAUUCCCGGUGUAGCGGUGAAAUGCGCAGAUAUCGGGAAGAACACCUAUGGCGAAGGCAGCUCUCUGGGACGGUACUGACGCUGAGACGCGAAAGCGUGGGGAGCAAACAGG